AUUGAACGCUGGCGGAAUGCUUUACACAUGCAAGUCGAACGGCAGCACGGACUUCGGUCUGGUGGCGAGUGGCGAACGGGUGAGUAAUGUAUCGGAACGUGCCCAGUCGUGGGGGAUAACGUAGUGAAAAUUACGCUAAUACCGCAUACGAUCUAUGGAUGAAAGCGGGGGAUCGCAAGACCUCGCGCGAUUGGAGCGGCCGAUAUCAGAUUAGGUAGUUGGUGGGGUAAAGGCUCACCAAGCCGACGAUCUGUAGCUGGUCUGAGAGGACGACCAGCCACACUGGGACUGAGACACGGCCCAGACUCCUACGGGAGGCAGCAGUGGGGAAUUUUGGACAAUGGGCGCAAGCCUGAUCCAGCCAUGCCGCGUGCAGGAUGAAGGCCUUCGGGUUGUAAACUGCUUUUGUACAGAACGAAAAGGUUUCUACUAAUACUAGGAGCUCAUGACGGUACUGUAAGAAUAAGCACCGGCUAACUACGUGCCAGCAGCCGCCGUAA
rnacentral:rRNA from 1 species